AUUGAACGCUGGCGGCAUGCCUUACACAUGCCAGUCGAACGGUAACAGGUCUUCGGAUGCUGACGAGUGGCGAACGGGUGAGUAAUACAUCGGAACGUGCCCGAUCGUGGGGGAUAACGAGGCGAAAGCUUUGCUAAUACCGCAUACGAUCUACGGAUGAAAGCGGGGGAUCUUCGGACCUCGCGCAGACGGAGCGGCCGAUGGCAGAUUAGGUAGUUGGUGGGAUAAAAGCUUACCAAGCCGACGAUCUGUAGCUGGUCUGAGAGGAUGAUCAGCCACACUGGGACUGAGACACGGCCCAGACUCCUACGGGAGGCAGCAGUGGGGAAUUUUGGACAAUGGGCGAAAGCCUGAUCCAGCCAUGCCGCGUGCAGGAUGAAGGCCUUCGGGUUGUAAACUGCUUUUGUACGGAACGAAAAGCCUCUUUCUAAUAAAGAGGGGUCAUGACGGUACCGUAAGAAUAAGCACCGGCUAACUACGUG
rnacentral:rRNA from 1 species